UACGGGGGGGGCAAGCGUUGUUCGGAAUUACUGGGCGUAAAGGGCUCGUAGGUGGCCAACUAAGUCAGACGUGAAAUCCCUCGGCUUAACCGGGGAACUGCGUCUGAUACUGGAUGGCUUGAGUUUGGGAGAGGGACGCGGAAUUCCAGGUCUAGCGGUGAAAUGCGUAGAUAUCUGGAGGAACGCCGGUGGCGAAGGCGGCGUCCUGGACCAACACUGACACUGAGGAGCGAAAGCCAGGGGAGCAAACGGG
rnacentral:rRNA from 1 species